rnacentral:rRNA from 1 species
AUUGAACGCUGGCGGCAUGCCUAACACAUGCAAGUCGAACGAAACGGGGACGGGUGAUUACUGUCUGUGCCCAUGCCUGAUGGAUGGGGAUACCUACUGGAAACUGUAGCUACUACCGCCUACCAUCAGCUGUGUCCAGAUGGGAUUAUCUAGUUGGGGGGGUAACGGCUCACCAAGGCGACGAUCCCUAGCUGGUCUGAGAGGAUGACCAGCCACACUGGAACUGAGACACGGUCCAGACUCCUACGGGAGGCAGCAGUAGGGAAUAUUGGACAAUGGGCGAAAGCCUGAUGGAGCCAUGCCGCGUGUAUGAAGAAGGUCUUCGGGUUGUAAAGCACUGUCAGUGGGGAAGCGGUACCUAAAGAAGAAGCAACGGCUAACUACGUGCCAGCAGCCGCGGUAAUUC